AGGAUGAAAGGUUAUCUCUUCUCCUCUCCACCAAAAGCCACUUCCCUUAGCCAUUUGGCAGGAGGCUUUUUGUUCCAAAGAUGCCCUUAAGAUGUUCAAGCUGGAUUUAGAAAAGGCAGAGGAACCAGAGAUCGAAUUGCCAACAUCUAUUGGAUCACUGAAAAAGCAAGAGAGUUCCAGGGAGAAGACAAUAGCAUCCCACUCCAGUACUCCUGCCUGGAAAAUCCCAUGGACGGAGGCACCUGGUAGGCUGCAGUCCAUGGGUCGCUACGAGUUGGACACGACUGAAGCAACUUAGCAGUGGUUGCAAAUGAAACAGACCUAGAUUUUUUUUCUAUCUUGACAUCUUUGGAAUUAAACAAUGUAUGUGUUCUCCAAAACAAAUAACAGAA
ensembl:lncRNA